rnacentral:rRNA from 1 species
ACGCUGGCGGCAUGCCUAACACAUGCAAGUCGAACGAGACCUUCGGGUCUAGUGGCGCACGGGUGCGUAACGCGUGGGAAUCUGCCCUUGGUUCGGAAUAACAGUUAGAAAUGACUGCUAAUACCGGAUAAUGUCUUCGGACCAAAGAUUUAUCGCCCAGGGAUGAGCCCGCGUAGGAUUAGCUAGUUGGUGAGGUAAAGGCUCACCAAGGCGACGAUCCUUAGCUGGUCUGAGAGGAUGAUCAGCCACACUGGGACUGAGACACGGCCCAGACUCCUACGGGAGGCAGCAGUGGGGAAUAUUGGACAAUGGGCGAAAGCCUGAUCCAGCAAUGCCGCGUGAGUGAUGAAGGCCUUAGGGUUGUAAAGCUCUUUUACCCGGGAUGAUAAUGACAGUACCGGGAGAAUAAGCCCCGGCUAACUCCGUG